GGCGAUAUCCUGUUUUACCGGUGUAAAGUCGCCCCGAUCUGUCGGGGCGUUUUUAUAUCUGGGGUAACGUUGUACUACUAUUCUGGGCUAUAUGCCCUUUUUUU
rfam:Rheinheimera sp. F8 genome.